CAACUCUGCAACAAGAGGAGGGAGGGGUGGGGGAAAGAAAACACGUCAGUCUGUACAGUAACUGGGUUGUACACAAGCGUUAAUUGGCCCAAUGAUCAUCUUGACUUCAGACAAACUGGAAGUGUUGCAGGAAAAAGACGGUUUCAAAGAAGCAGGUAAAGACAAAGACACAUCGGACCACCAAUCAAGUAGAGUGAGCGGCUCCCUGGGUGGACAUCCAUUGGACGAGAGCAGUCGCUGAGAGAAUGGAUCCAGGGUCACGUGUCAAAUAAGUCCUGUCCACAGUCACAACCCGGAUAACUCCGACGCUCGAACCCUCUGAAGGCAAAGCCCAGCUGAUGAACGCUGUCUGUGCAGAUCCGUCUCUUCCACG